rnacentral:ncRNA from 1 species
AUACAUUCGCAGACGAAGAGAGUAUGUAUAAACGGAAGCAGCAGCGAGCCGGGGGUGGUGGAAGCCCGGUGGUUCAUUUAUACAGAAACGCACUUCUGAGAAGAUCGGUGAACAAGUAGCCGGUUCCGGGAGCACCCGUUAUCAGUUUCGAGUUGGUCUAUGAUUAUAGACAAUGAGAGUGGCACCGCGGAUGGUUAAAACCAGAAUCCGUCUCUUAC